rnacentral:lncRNA from 1 species
CAGACAUAUUAACUAGCGCACAGAAAGCCCCAGAUCCAGCCAUGGAAAUAUUUGUUUAAUGCUUGAAAAGAACAGGAGAGACAUGCAGAUUAACAUCUGAUCAUCCCUUUCCCUUUUGAACAACCAUGCUGAAUACAGUGAGGGCAGAGGGUAAGGUGCUGGCCUCUCCACUCCAGACUGCUGUGCUGGACAGAGCAGUUAAGACAUUUGGCAAUUUCCAGGCAAAGCACAAAACAGCAUCAGGCAUUUCUUCUGGGUGACUGGACUAAAUCCCCAUCCUGACAGUGAUCUUAAAGUAGAGCGUGCUGAUGGGAGUGACGGCAGUGAUAAGACGAAGACACCACAAACAGAGAUGAGAAGGUUUUGCUUCUAAGUGAGGAUGACAAUGAUUUUGGUUCUGAUGCAACAAGAGAGUCAUCCCUAAAAUAACAGUUGGUGAAAUAGCAGAUAUGCACAUCAAUCUCUGAGUUAUAUUGAAACGAGAUGUGGAUAUUGAGAUCUCAGAUAAGGGUAACACUAUGGAUACCAGCUAACAAGUAAACCAUAAAUUUCCUGUUAAAAUAUUUGGUGGGUGCACUGUCUAUCUUUAACCAGCACAAAUACUGUUCCUUUAAUGUUGUUCCAGACUCACAGCAUCUGACAAAAUAAACAACUGCCCAGGACUUCUCA